GCCGCCCUCUCCCCGCAGGAGGCCGAUGGCACCCUGGACUGCAUCAGCAUGGCCCUGACCUGCACCUUCAACCGCUGGGGCACGCUGCUGGCCGUGGGCUGCAACGACGGGCGCAUCGUCAUCUGGGACUUCCUGACCAGGGGCAUCGCCAAGAUCAUCAGCGCUCACAUUCACCCCGUCUGCUCGUUGUGCUGGAGUCGAGAUGGUCAUAAACUGGUGAGUGCUUCGACUGAUAACAUCGUGUCGCAGUGGGAUGUGCUCUCUGGAGACUGCGACCAGAGAUUUCGGUUUCCUUCACCUAUCUUGAAAGUUCAGUACCACCCUCGAGACCAAAACAGAGUUUUGGUUUGCCCCAUGAAGUCGGCGCCGGUGAUGCUAACGCUGUCAGACUCCAAACACGUUGUCCUACCUGUGGAUGAUGAUUCUGAUCUCAAUGUUGUGGCCUCCUUUGACAGGCGAGGGGAAUACAUUUAUACGGGCAAUGCCAAGGGGAAGAUCUUGGUCUUAAAAACAGACACUCAGGAUCUUGUUGCUUCCUUCAGAGUGACAACUGGAACCAGCAACACCACAGCUAUUAAAUCCAUUGAAUUUGCUCGGAAAGGAAGCUGCUUUUUAAUAAACACAGCUGACCGGAUAAUCAGGGUGUAUGAUGGCCGUGAAAUUCUAACUUGUGGACGAGAUGGGGAGCCUGAACCAAUGCAGAAGCUGCAGGAUUUAGUGAACAGGACGCCGUGGAAGAAGUGCUGUUUCUCUGGUGAUGGUGAAUAUAUAGUGGCAGGUUCAGCACGACAGCAUGCCCUGUACAUUUGGGAGAAGAGUAUUGGAAACCUAGUGAAAAUCCUCCACGGGACCAGAGGAGAGCUGCUCUUGGAUGUAGCAUGGCACCCUGUCCGACCGAUCAUAGCUUCUAUUUCAAGUGGUGUUGUGUCAAUAUGGGCUCAGAAUCAAGUGGAAAACUGGAGUGCCUUUGCGCCUGACUUCAAAGAGCUGGAUGAAAAUGUAGAAUAUGAAGAGAGAGAGUCAGAGUUUGACAUUGAAGAUGAAGAUAAGAGUGAACCAGAACAGACAGGUGCUGAUGCUGCUGAAGAUGAAGAAGUGGAUGUAACUAGCGGGGAUCCCAUUGCUGCCUUCUGUAGCAGUGAUGAAGAACUGGAGGACUCCAAGGCUCUGCUUUACUUGCCCAUUGCUCCUGAAGUUGAAGAUCCAGAAGAAAACCCCUAUGGACCCCCACCAGAUGCAGUUCAGAGCUCUUUAACUGAUGAGGGAAUAGGUUCUGAGAAGAAGAGGCAGUCCUCCUCUGAUGGACCUCAGGCACCAAAGAAGAAGCCCAAAACCACCAACAUUGAACUACAAGGAGUACCUAAUGAUGAAGUCCAUCCGCUGCUGGGUGUGAAGGGAGAUGGUAAAUCCAAGAAGAAGCAAGCAGGCAGGCCUAAAGGAUCAAAAGGUAAAGACAAAGAUUCUCCAUUUAAACCGAAACUCUACAAAGGGGACAGAGGUGCUUUACCUCUGGAAGGAGCAGCGAAGGGUAAAGUGCAGGCGGAGCUGGGACAGCCUUUGACAGCAGGUGGUGCAAUCUCAGAAUUGUUAUGAAGACACUCUUCUUUAUCUUCCUGUAUUCUUUCCUAUAUUGGCACCAUAAUGUGGAAAAUAGAUUAAACGCUCAGUCAGAGCGGACUGACUAAUACAGCAGACUGAUUGUUCAUGGAUUCAGGGAGUGACUUUUGUAAGAAUUGACUAUGGAAGAGGAAACGGCCUUCAUUCCUCCUUAACUGCCUCUUCAUGGAACAGUGUAAGAUGCUGGCUCUCAGGUCAUGUGAUUUGCAAAGAGACUAACUGGACUGCCUUUGUGGUGACGUAUAGAACUAUUCCUAAAGCAAGCUGGUACCCAACACUCUGCCGCUCCACAGCUUGUCAGCCAUUGGCUUUUAAAUAUUUUAUUUUUUUUGUUGUUCCUGGAUUGAAGAAUCCCCAAAGUGUGUAUUUUUAUUCCUGAUGCCGUGUGACUGUGUAUGCUGCGAACGUCCCUUUCUUUGCUGUUAAUUUUCAUUUUGGUGAGUUGUAAGUCCUUCUGUGCCAGCUGCAUUACCUUAUCAGCUUUUCUGUCAGCUCAGCGUGAUGCCUUCUAUGCUGACGUACUUAGUGAAACACUGCUGCUGAUUAUGUGCCAGGUUUGGUUUCAUCUCAAGUGGAUAGAGCUCUGAUGUGAAGAAUCAAGACACCCUCUGAAGUCUACAAAGAAUGAAUCCACAUAUUGUGAAUAUUUUAGACAUGAAGGAUGACUCUGCUUAUGGGAAAAGGAACGAGUGAAAUUAGCUCUAGAUAAAAUACUCUGUUUAUAUGCUUUCUUCUAGCCUGUGAUAUGAAAAGCUGUGUUGGCGGUUUCUUUCUGUCCUUGCAAAUAUUUUUAUUCUGUCUCUUUCCUGUGAGGUGCCCUACCAGAAACAGUCGCUUUCCUCCUUAGCUGGUAGGUACUGGCAGUUAGAGAGAAAACAGAACCAAUAUUUCUCCGAACCAAAAGAGUAGUUUUCCAGGCUUUUUUUUCCCCCCCCACUUCUGGAUCAAGAAUGGAAGAAAGGUGAAUGCUAACAGCCGAUUCCCAGCCAUGCUUUAACUUUGUAUUCCUUAAAGACGGUUGUAGUGUUUUCCCUGUGGGAGUGGGAAGAGACACUUUAUCUAUCCAGUACCUGCAGCCUGACGCCUCUCUGUACUAGCCUCUUAAAAGAAAGUUUUCAUUCCUAAUGCCCCUUGUUUUACAGACUUUUGUAGUUCUUAUGCAAUUACUUUCAGUUUUUCCCCAGAUGUAAUUAUUGAGAUUAUUGCUACGUAUUUAAAUUUCCAAAGUAUCUUGCAGACAUUAAAAACCAAGGAGUCAUAAAGAGAUUUAUUAAUUUGCAGUCGGAAGUAUGCAGUAGUUACAUGAGAUACAAGCAUGGGAAGAGAGGAGAUAUUAUAAGUCAGAAGGAUUUUUAAAACUAGUAUUUUCAUUUCUGGCUUCGGAACAGUGGCCUGCUUCGUUUAAUGAAAUUCAGUCCCGUGCGUACAGUAUUAGUUGUCUUUGCUCUUCCUGCUUGUAGGAUGACUCGCAUCUUUCCUGGAACACUGUUAUGUCAAAUCCACCCGUGUGUGGUGUGGCUGACCCCACAAGCUUUAAAAGACGCACAGGCAAUGGUUCUCUAGGUUGUUUUAAAACAUAUAAUUUGCCACAGACUCCAGCCUUCAUUUAUGUUAAAACUUCUCUGUACAGUGUAUAUGUCCUUGGUUUAUUUUCUCCCAUCUCUUAUUUUAUUUUUUGCUAUCUAGUUUUGUACAAUACUUGUCAGAUACUGGCUUGGUGGUAGUAUACAGCAGUGAUGUUAGUUUUUGCGUUUGUAAAUAAAGAGGUAUGUUUUAUUUCCUAAAGUCAAUGGGUAAGUUUUGGCUUUUCCAUACUGCCGUGAUUGUUUAUAUUGUGACAAUGUUUAGGAAAUCUGCAAUACAGCUCAACUGCCAACAAAUGUGUUGUGCCUUCACCCCACAGCUGGUGUGUUGGGGUUUGGUUGGUUUUUUUAGUGUAGCAUUUGGUUGAUGAUCUCUUUUCAGGGGACAGGAGUAAAUCUGUAGCCUAAUAAAAGCCCUGCGUACCUGAGCUCAGCCUAGGCCCUGAGAGAGACGUGCGAAAGGGGAGCUGAGCGCAAAGCGUGCUGGGUGUAGAGUGCGCCUCAGGGAAACUGAAUGUGGAAAAUACAUAUUAGAUCUUCAGAAGUCUUCAUUUUGAUAAAUUAAGGCUUGUUAGGGACAGAAAUAUGGUUAUUUGUUAGCAGAGCUGUUGAAGAACAUGGCAAUGCAAACCCUUCUGCAAUCCAUAAUUCAGAUUAUCGAGCUGCCUUGACCACCGUUCAGUUACACCAUCAACAGUGAGUUACUUUUUUUCAUGGAGAACUCCUAGCAGUGCGUUAUUCUUUUGGGAUGCCUGAGCACUGAGUGAAUUAUUCUGGGUGUACGAGUGGUUUCUGUUUUACAGAUGCAUCAACUGAAUGUGGAGAUCUUGGCUCCGAUUGCUCUUCGGAGUUGGUGGCCCUGUGUGACGCAGAGCGUGGGGCUCACGCUCGCAGCUCCUCUGGGUGAUGCUGUUGAAUCCCUUCGGAGUCUGACAGCGGGUGUCAGGAGCCUCAUACGAUGCUUUCAUCUCAGAGGACUCGCUUUGGCUUCGGGCUUAGGGGAUUUCUUUGUUCUCCCUCAGAAGGUUUGGGGCCGCAUUCUGACCCGGGCAGCCGGGCUGUGACAUCGGCACCGUUCCCCUGGGAACACGGGCUCACGGACACUGUUGUACUUCAAGCCUUUCUUGUUGGAGGAUUUUUCCUAACAGAAGGAUUGUGUCUUGAAGAUGAUUCCGGUG